UACGAAGGGGGCGAGCGUUGUUCGGAUUUACUGGGUGUAAAGGGCGCGCAGGCGGCCAUUCAAGUCAGGCGUGAAAGCCCCGGGCUUAACCUGGGAGGUGCGCUUGGGACUGGGUGGCUAGAGAUCGGGAGAGGAGAGUGGAAUUCCCAGUGUAGAGGUGAAAUUCGUAGAUAUUGGGAAGAACACCGGUGGCGAAGGCAGCUUACUAGACUGUAACUGACGCUGAUGCACGAAAGUGUGGGGAUCAAACAGG
rnacentral:rRNA from 1 species